rnacentral:rRNA from 1 species
GACGAACGCUGGCUGCGUGCUUAACACAUGCAAGUCGAACGCUGAAGCUCUGGUGCUUGCACCGGGGUGGAUGAGUGGCGAACGGGUGAGUAACACGUGAGUAACCUGCCCCUGACUUCGGGAUAAGCCCGGGAAACUGGGUCUAAUACCGAAUAUGACCGUUCCUCGCAUGAGGGAUGGUGGAAAGUUUUUUCGGUUGGGGAUGGGCUCGCGGCCUAUCAGCUAGAUGGUGGGGUAAUGGCCCACCAUGGCGACGACGGGUAGCCGGCCUGAGAGGGCGACCGGCCACACUGGGACUGAGACACGGCCCAGACUCCUACGGGAGGCAGCAGUGGGGAAUAUUGCACAAUGGGGGAAACCCUGAUGCAGCGACGCAGCGUGCGGGAUGACGGCCUUCGGGUUGUAAACCGCUUUCAGCAGGGAAGAAGCCCCUUGGGGUGACGGUACCUGCAGAAGAAGUACCGGCUAACUACGUGCCAGCAGCCGCGGUAAUACGUAGGGUACGAGCGUUGUCCGGAAUUAUUGGGCGUAAAGAGCUCGUAGGUGGUUGGUCACGUCUGCUGUGGAAACGCAACGCUUAACGUUGCGCGUGCAGUGGGUACGGGCUGACUAGAGUGCAGUAGGGGAGUCUGGAAUUCCUGGUGUAGCGGUGAAAUGCGCAGAUAUCAGGAGGAACACCGGUGGCGAAGGCGGGACUCUGGGCUGUAACUGACACUGAGGAGCGAAAGCAUGGGGAGCGAACAGGAUUAGAUACCCUGGUAGUCCAUGCCGUAAACGUUGGGCACUAGGUGUGGGGGACAUUCCACGUUCUCCGCGCCGUAGCUAACGCAUUAAGUGCCCCGCCUGGGGAGUACGGUCGCAAGGCUAAAACUCAAAGGAAUUGACGGGGGCCCGCACAAGCGGCGGAGCAUGCGGAUUAAUUCGAUGCAACGCGAAGAACCUUACCAAGGCUUGACAUACACCAGACCGGGCUGGAAACAGUCCUUCCCCUUUGGGGUUGGUGUACAGGUGGUGCAUGGUUGUCGUCAGCUCGUGUCGUGAGAUGUUGGGUUAAGUCCCGCAACGAGCGCAACCCUCGUUCUAUGUUGCCAGCACGUGAUGGUGGGAACUCAUAAGAGACUGCCGGGGUCAACUCGGAGGAAGGUGGGGAUGACGUCAAAUCAUCAUGCCCUUUUAUGUCUUGCGCUUCACCCCUGCUACAUUGGCUGGUACAGAAAGAUGCUAGACCGUGAGGUUUUAUCGAAUCCCCUUAAAGCCAGUCUCAAUCCGGAUCCUAAUCUGCCAAUUCCACUACGUGAAAGUUCGAGUCGCUAUGUAUUCGCAAACCCACAACGCCUGCUGUGAAUACGUUUCCGGGGCCU